GUGAUCUGGAAUUGGCCCCAUCCCCCAGCCCGCAGCCCCUCCUGCCACCCUGACACUGUCGUCCUACCUGGGGAGGUGCAGGGGGCCCCGAGCAAGGACCCAACAUCCCCGGGAGGCGGAGGCGGCGUGCAGGCCGUGCAGCUGGGUUCUCCUCUCGGCCUCAGCCGGAACGGGAGGGGCCCCUUUUCCUCACCUCCAGGGCCUGAUUUAAUCCUUGAGAGGCUCUGGUUUGGAAUUCUCAGGGCAUUGUCUAGAGGGUGAGGGGGUGUCCUGGGGGGCUGGGGGCUGGAAGAGAGGAGGGCAUGCCCGCUCAGCCCCUGCCCUUCCCCCGGCAUCCCCUGGAGCGGUGUUUAUCUUCCAGAUUCAGAAUUUCCAGGCAUGAUGACUGGUGUGAGUCAGACAAAAUGCACUUAGAAUUCAUCGUGACGGCCUCAAGGAGGUGGUCAGGAUGGACACCCACAGUCUGGUGCCCAGAUUACAGACGUCAGGACCAGCUGGGUGGGGACUGGUCGUGCCGAGUCAGGUGUGUGUGUGCCCGUGUGUGUGUGUGUCCGUGUUCCCGUGUGUGUGCCCGUGUUCCCGUGUGUGUGCCCGUGUGUGUGUGUGUGUCCGUGUGUGUGUGUGUGUCCAUGUGCCCGUGUGUGUGUCUGUGUGCCCGUGUGUGUGUGUCCAUGUGCCCGUGUGUGUGUGCCCGUGUGUGUGUGUAUGCCUGUGUGUGUGUGUGUGUGUCCAUGUGCCCGUGUGUGUGUCUGUAUGUCCAGCAGGGGCACCUGUGUCCUCCCACGAAGCCUGGGCAUCAGGAGGCCCUCUGAGCUGAUGAUGGGAGUUGCUUUUUCUUGGAAAUACUGUUUAUGUUAACGAGCCAUGGGUUUCUGCGGCUCAUUAUUAUUUUACUGAGCAUUGGGCCUUUGGGUUUUGUCUGACAUGGGGAGACAGCAGUCUCAGAGGAGAGGAAACAGCAAGCAAGCGCUCUCCGCAAACGUCACGUGGCCCUGGGUGCAUCUCGAUCCUGGCCCUGCCCUGGGCGUCCUCCUGCGCCCCCGCCCCGGGCACAGUGGCCAGCGGGCAGCAGCGAGCCGGCGCGGGAGUCCUACAGGAAUCCCGUCCCAGUUGGCCCGAGGUGACUCCGGAUUGUCCACGGAGCCUUUGGCUCCAUCUGCCUGGAAGCCUGCCCCUCUGCAGCCCGAGCCCAGGCCCGCGGGGGCGGCCAAGAGUGCGCGGGAGAGCUGCCGGCCAGGCACGCGGCCCGGCGGGGCAGGAAGCAACCUCCACGCAGCAGCUCGGGAGCCCGGCCCGGGGCUUGCUCCAGCCUCUGACUUCCUUUCUGCAAGAGCCACGCGGGGCCUGCCACCAUGGUUCCCCGACAGGCCUGCAGCAUCAGGGCCCUGUGACCGAAGCACACGUCCUCCUGGGGCAGGCUCAGGCCUCCGACCGUCCAGCGUGGCCCCCGGCCCUUCCAGUCUCACGCGCCCCAUCAGAGGAAAUGUCCUCCUGGCCUCCCUGCCCUCCCUCGGACCCUGUGAGUCCACCUGCCACUUCCCCUGUGGACUGACCUGCACCACCUGCGAAGGAGAGGGUGAGACGGGGUCGGCAGGAAAAGAUGCAUGCUCCAGCCCACGAAGACGUGUGGGAAGCUGCUUCCGGCAGGCCGGGGACAUCCUCUCUCCUCUUUUCCAGAAAGAAAAAACACACGGCCGGGAGGGCCAUGUGGGGUCUCCGCCACCUGGCUGGAUGGGAACCGGCGUCCUUGUCUGCACCGCCGUCUUGCCAUCACUCACGAGUGGCCCUGAAGAGCUCACAUCCUUGAGAGGACUGGUCCUCAGCACACCUCCUGUCUGGAAGAGCCUGCGGCACCUCGGGGGUCCCUGGGGUGCACUUGGAGAGCUGUGUCUCCCUCAUUCUCCUCAAGCCUCAGCCCAGCCUUGCCCUCCCUGCCUGUCCUCAGCCUCCCCCGGGAGCCUCGUAUUUCACAAUUGCUCUGCUCUUGUUCCUUCUGCUGAUGGCACAUUCCUUCCAUAUUUCCUUCUGCAAAUCCCUAAAAGAGAGAAUCCGUUUGGCGUGCUUCUCUUCUUUGAGCUGGAGCCCCAGGUUGAAGUCCUGGGCCCACUGUGGGGUUGGGGGAAGUCCUGGAGGGAGAACCCCACCCUGUGUGUGCAGGGAACAUUUACAAGUAUUCCUGAAUAAACUCCCGCUGCCAACAAGCCCAAUGUGAACUCUGUCCGGCAAACCCCCUUGAGGUCAUCCCUCUGCCCACCUCACAGGCAUGGGGUCAGGGCCCCACUGUGCUCAGCUGAG
rnacentral:lncRNA from 1 species